GCGCGUUAAUCUCCAGGCCCGCAGCCUGCUGGCUGAGCCCCUGGUGGCCGCCCGGAAAUCGCUGCCCGGCAGCACCCUCCCCUUCCCCCGCGUCUCCAGCGUCUUGGAGACGGGCGCGGUGGGCUGUGCAGCUGGCCGGGAGCUCCAGGCAAGGCGCAGCAUGGAGACCCCGCAGCAGGGACCCCGCCAGUGCCCACCCCGUGCCCUUCCCCCAGUUCCAAGAUGAAAUUCCACUUAGUCGUCCAAAAAGAAAGAAGCCCAAAGGAAAAAAUGCACUGGAGGGUAUUGUUCAUGCAGCUGUCCGUCGGCCAUCUGAGAGUAGCGAACCUCUAACUCCUGAGAUUCAGGAUGCUCCACCUCAGAGGAAACGCAAGAAGAAGAGAAUGCCUCCUGGUAUGUGGAGAG
rnacentral:lncRNA from 1 species